CACGGGGGAGGUUGGACCCAGAGGGCCCUCACUCGCUUCCGUAGGUGAACCUGCGGAAGGAUCAUUACCGAGUGAGGGCCCUCUGGGUCCAACCUCCCACCCGUGUUUAUUUUACCUUGUUGCUUCGGCGGGCCCGCCUUAACUGGCCGCCGGGGGGCUUACGCCCCCGGGCCCGCGCCCGCCGAAGACACCCUCGAACUCUGUCUGAAGAUUGUAGUCUGAGUGAAAAUAUAAAUUAUUUAAAACUUUCAACAACGGAUCUCUUGGUUCCGGCAUCGAUGAAGAACGCAGCGAAAUGCGAUACGUAAUGUGAAUUGCAAAUUCAGUGAAUCAUCGAGUCUUUGAACGCACAUUGCGCCCCCUGGUAUUCCGGGGGGCAUGCCUGUCCGAGCGUCAUUUCUGCCCUCAAGCACGGCUUGUGUGUUGGGCCCCGUCCUCCGAUCCCGGGGGACGGGCCCGAAAGGCAGCGGCGGCACCGCGUCCGGUCCUCGAGCGUAUGGGGCUUUGUCACCCGCUCUGUAGGCCCGGCCGGCGCUUGCCGAUCAACCCAAAUUUUUAUCCAGGUUGACCUCGGAUCAGGUAGGGAUACCCGCUGAACUUAAGCAUAUCAAUAAGC
rnacentral:rRNA from 1 species